rnacentral:rRNA from 1 species
CAAUAGCGUAUAUUAAAGUUGUUGCAGUUAAAAGCUACGUAGUUGGAUUUCUGGCUCGUGCUGUGUGUGUCCGCAAUCUUCAAGGUUGUGCUGUACGCGCGCAGUCGGCCACUUCUUCUGGGUGUCCCUGGUGCUCUUGAUUUGAGUACGCCGGUGGUUUGCGUUCCAGAUCAUUUACUUUGAGAAAAUUAGAGUGUUCAAGGCAGGCAUUUGUUGCCGUGAAUAUAUUAGCAUGGAAUAAUAAGAUAGGACUUUGGUCGUAAUUUUGUUGGUUUCUACAGCCGAAGUAAUGAUUGAUAGGGAUAGUUGGGGUGCUAGUAUUCUGCGGCCAGAGGUGAAAUUCUGUUGAUUCGCGGAGGUACUGACUUAUGCGAAAGCAGUUCACCAAGGAUGUCUUCUUUAAUCAAG